rnacentral:sRNA from 1 species
ACGACCGAAGCACCGCACGGCAGGAGCGGGGGAACCAGGUAAGUCGCCGAACCGGACGCCUUGAUGGCGCACCGGGCCGGCUAGGGGUGAAGUCGCACCGUCGUACGGCGGCGCGGCCGGGCAUCUCCCGCCCGAACCCGACAGCUCACCUCGCAGGCGCCGGAGAGGAACA